AACAGUUGGAAACGACUGCUAAUACCCCAUAUGCCCUUAAGACAUAAGUCUGCAGGGGAAAUAUUUAUAGCUCUAGGAUCGGCCUGUACGGUAUCAGCUUGUUGGUGAGGUAAUGGCUCACCAAGGCAAUGACGCCUAACUGGUUUGAGAGGAUGAUCAGUCACACUGGAACUGAGACACGGUCCAGACUCCUACGGGAGGCAGCAGUGGGGAAUAUUGCACAAUGGGGGAAACCCUGAUGCAGCAACGCCGCGUGGAGGAUGACACAUUUCGGUGCGUAAACUCCUUUUAUAUAGGAAGAUAAUGACGGUACUAUAUGAAUAAGCGCCGGCUAACUCCGUGCCAGCAGCCGCGGUAAUACGGAGGGCGCAAGCGUUACUCGGAAUCACUGGGCGUAAAGAGCGUGUAGGCGGAUAAAUAAGUUUGAAGUGAAAUCCUGUGGCUCAACCAUAGAACUGCUUUGAAAACUGUUUAUCUAGAAUAUGGGAGAGGUAGAUGGAAUUUCUGGUGUAGGGGUAAAAUCCGUAGAGAUCAGAAGGAAUACCAAUUGCGAAGGCGAUCUACUGGAACAUUAUUGACGCUGAGACGCGAAAGCGUGGGGAGCAAACAGGAUUAGAUACCCUGGUAGUCCACGCCCUAAACGAUGUACACUAGUUGUUGUGAGGCUAGACCUUGCAGUAAUGCAGUUAACACAUUAAG
rnacentral:rRNA from 1 species